AUUGAACGCUGGCGGCAUGCCUCACACAUGCAAGUCGAACGGCAGCACGGGAGCAAUCCUGGUGGCGAGUGGCGAACGGGUGAGUAAAGUAUCGGAACGUGCCCAGUCGUGGGGGAUAACGUAGCGAAAGUUACGCUAAUACCGCAUACGAUCUAUGGAUGAAAGCGGGGGAUCGCAAGACCUCGCGCGAUUGGAGCGGCCGAUAUCAGAUUAGGUAGUUGGUGGGGUAAAGGCUCACCAAGCCGACGAUCUGUAGCUGGUCUGAGAGGACGACCAGCCACAAUGGGACUGAGACACGGCCCAGACUCCUACGGGAGGCAGCAGUGGGGAAUUUUGGACAAUGGGCGAAAGCCUGAUCCAGCCAUGCCGCGUGCAGGAUGAAGGCCUUCGGGUUGUAAACUGCUUUUGUACGGAACGAAAAGGUUUGGCCUAAUAAGCUGAGCUCAUGACGGUACCGUAAGAAUAAGCACCGGCUAACUACGUGCCAGCAGCCGCCGUAAUAC
rnacentral:rRNA from 1 species